rnacentral:rRNA from 1 species
UGCCAGCAGCCGCGGUAAUACGGAGGGUGCAAGCGUUAAUCGGAAUUACUGGGCGUAAAGCGUGCGUAGGUGGCUUGUCAAGCCAGAUGUGAAAGCCCCGGGCUUAACCUGGGAACUGCAUCUGGAACUGGUUGGCUAGAGUACGGUAGAGGGUAGUGGAAUUUCCUGUGUAGCGGUGAAAUGCGUAGAUAUAUGGAGGAAUACCAGUGGCGAAGGCGGCCUCCUGGCUCGAUACUGACGCUGAGGUGCGAAAGCGUGGGUAGCAAACAGGAUUAGAUA